rnacentral:rRNA from 1 species
GAUGAACGCUGGCGGCGUGCCUAAUACAUGCAAGUCGAGCGAACAGACGAGGAGCUUGCUCCUCUGACGUUAGCGGCGGACGGGUGAGUAACACGUGGAUAACCUACCUAUAAGACUGGGAUAACUUCGGGAAACCGGAGCUAAUACCGGAUAAUAUAUUGAACCGCAUGGUUCAAUAGUGAAAGACGGUUUUGCUGUCACUUAUAGAUGGAUCCGCGCCGCAUUAGCUAGUUGGUAGGGUAACGGCUUACCAAGGCAACGAUGCGUAGCCGACCUGAGAGGGUGAUCGGCCACACUGGAACUGAGACACGGUCCAGACUCCUACGGGAGGCAGCAGUAGGGAAUCUUCCGCAAUGGGCGAAAGCCUGACGGAGCAACGCCGCGUGAGUGAUGAAGGUCUUCGGAUCGUAAAACUCUGUUAUUAGGGAAGAACAAAUGUGUAAGUAGCUAUGCACGUCUUGACGGUACCUAAUCAGAAAGCCACGGCUAACUACGUG